CUUCCGUCCACCUAUUUAAGUACUAAAGUUUGGCUCAUGUGGUUCUGUACCAUAGUGAAAAAAUAUGGUUGUUAGAGUUAGGUUAACCAUAUUCACAUGACAAAGGUUCACAUGUAAUGAUUGUGCUAGUUUUGCUCGUGUUGCGAACAUUGUCAGUGAUUUCUAAAUUAGAUGCUGAAAUUUGUGGAAUUUUGUGAUGUAUUGAAGAAAGAAAAACUUUUUUGGAAUCGUUUUCUCGCUGAAUUCAUCCGGCGAACUGGAAAAUUUUACUGUCGAGUGAAAAUGAGUUGAUUUAUAAACAUACCUACCAACUUACCUACUCUUUAAUAAUGCUCACACUUUGGGAGCCCUCGCGUAAUCCAACACCGAUCGAGGCGAAAUCAAUUCGAAGGGGUAAAAUAUAUCCUACCUAAACCUA